CUUAUUAUCAAGCUUGUUUAGAGAUUUAACGGAUUAGAACGGAGAAAAUAGUGUUAUAAACUUGUUUGUUGCUUUGUUGGAAUUUAUGGAUUAGGGGAUGUUUUGGUUGGAUUAAAUGGGUGGAAUUAGUUAAGUUAUGAAGUAGAAUGAUUGUUGAUAUUGUUGUUGAUGUUCUUGAUAAGUUGUUGUCGAAAUUGGGGGAAUAAACUUUGCUUGCAAACCCGUUUUUGGUUGGGACUGCUGUUAGUAAUUGUAGUAUAACUCCUUGUGUAAAACUUAGUUUUGAGUGAUUCAAGAUGUUUUGGAAAGCUAUUUCAUAGGGCUAUAACUUUUAUUUAGGAUCCAAAAUCCAGUUUUGCUUUUAUUGACUCGAAAAAGGGUGAUGAAGUACAGGGGAGGUGCUGCCCAGAUUUUGGUCUAAAAAUCCUACAUGGACUGCUGUGGGUGUAUAUUCUCUUAUACAAGCUAAGAGGAACUGUUUGACGAAGUGGAUUUUGGUUGAUCUAUGACAUAGAGAAAUUGAACUCCUCGAGUGGUGGUAGAACUUGUUGUGUGCUAAAACGCCAAGGUGAUGUGCGAGACGGGAUAUGAAGAUGGUCAUGUGGAGUAGACUUUUUGAGAGCUCUUUUGAAGAUCACAUAUGCAUAUACAUCUAGUUUUUGUAUAUUAUUUUGGGGACUUGUACAUGAUACAUGUGUGGCACUUAUGUACGAAAUUUUGAAGGCUUGUAACUUGAACCAAGUGACUAAUUUUGUUAUUUUAGAGUG